rnacentral:rRNA from 1 species
UACGUAGGGUGCAAGCGUUUAAUCGGAAUUACUGGGCGUAAAGCGUGCGCAGGCGGCUUUGCAAGACAGAUGUGAAAUCCCCCGGGCUCAACCUGGGAACUGCAUUUGUGACUGCAAGGCUAGAGUACGGCAGAGGGGGAUGGAAUUCCGCGUGUAGCAGUGAAAUGCGUAGAUAUGCGGAGGAACACCGAUGGCGAAGGCAAUCCCCUGGGCCUGCACUGACGCUCAUGCACGAAAGCGUGGGGAGCAAACAGG